AAAUUGUAAACCGGGGGUUCGGACAGUAUUUCCUCCUUUGAUUGCUUGCCACCUGAAAUUUAAAUUGCGAAAAAGAAUGCAGAUGAGUCAAAAGAGAUUUUCAACUAUAAUCACCUUCCAUCUCCAUGGAUUGAAGGCAAGUGGAUCUUCAUAUUUGGCUUGGUUUAAGUGUACAGCAGGAGGACAGACUAUAACUGCCCAAUUAGCUGGGAUGGUAUGCUACUCGGCGCAUAGAGCACCGUCCCACCGGCCCAUUGAGCCACGAACUGAGCCUCAAUGCAACAACUAAUGUAGGUAGGUUACUGUGAGUAUUAUUAUGACCCUCCAUUAUUAAAAUUUGAUCACUGUGUAUCAUCAAUAAUGGUGGAUGAGGCUUCACUGGCAAUAAUAACCCAAAACAAUGAAGUUUGAACAACCCUUUAAGAACUAAGAUUCUUUUCACAUUUCUGUGUGCAUACUUAGUACCUACUGGGAUUAUAAAGCUGUAAAGCUGAUGCCAUCUGAGAAUAUAGGCUGUAAUGCAGCGCGUUAGUGUCCAUUUUUGUUUCAAGUUUGUCACAAAUACUAAUAGCUGUCGAGCUAUGUUGCACGGAAAUGGAAACACACCGAGAUGAGAAAAAUUGACAUGAAAAAUGGUGAAACCAUAUCUUUUACGAGAAUAUAUAUCUUAUAAUAAAAAAUUUGAGUUUCUUCUUAAAAUCAAAACGAAACGCCAAAACGUAGGAUUGGACAAGUUUUCAUGCAACAUAGCUGUCUAGUAAAUUCAUAAAAGAAUAUGAGAAGAUGACAGUGAACUUGGACCCCAUUUUUGUAAUUCUCGUCUUUUUUAAGCUUAGGAUCUGUUAAGUUAUAAUUUUUUAAGAGAAUAAGUGAUUGUCGCAUUAUUUAACUGUUAGGCAUGGAUGGUCUUGGAAAAGGUCUCCUUGAUGGGGUGCAUAAGGCUGGCAGCUAAGUAAAUAUCUGGUUUUGGAAUUAUAAACUAAACUAUCAAAACAAUGAUACAAAAGUGUAUAGCUAGGAUAGGAAGUGAGUAUUAUGUUUUCUAGUGACUGGAAUUGCAUUUUUCUAAUAAAUAAGAGAAAUUCCUUUUCAUCAACUGCUAGAAGGUGUAAGGUUUAACAGGGUCCUACAUGUCUUGACUGACCAAAUUUACAAAUCUGAUGAUGGGAGAUAGAUCCCUUUUAUUAGACUAAUCGAACCGGAUUGAAAUUUAAUUUUUACUAAUAUCGAACCAAAUCAAAAUUGUAAGGAAUUAACAAAAUUCAAAUCGAACCGAACUAGUCGGUUCGUUCAGUUAUUUCGGUUUAUUUUUUACUAAUUUUUUUUUGUCCUAAAUAAACUGAACCAAAAGAUGAAAUCUUUUUAUAAAUUCAAACCAAAUUGAACCAAUUUUAUUGGUUUGGUUAUUAUUCCUAGUUCAACUAAUGUAGAUAAGAAUAAGAUGUGAUUUAACUCCUUUCUCUACUCUAUCCGACGGUUCAAGAAUUUAGAUGAAUAUAAGAGGCAAGUGAUCACUGGCAACAAAAGAUUUUUCUUCUAGAAUUCAGUGUUGGGAUACCCAAUGAAGAGAGGAUUAAGGAGAAAGUUGUUCUUCCUGUCUGUUACGUGCGCCUAGGGAAUGCUUCAUUUUAAUUACUCCACAACAGGUGGUCAUACUCAAACUCUAAAAAAUUCAUGAUAAUUGAAUCUGGUCUGGCAAGACAAGCUCAUACUGGGCAAUGAACAGCAUAAUAUGAUUCAGCAACACAAUCCUUGAGCAUUAUCUAGCGAUCUACUAAAAACCCAAUUGAUGCUGAUAUCACAAUUAAGGUUCAAGUUGACUUCCUAAUGUUUUAGUUCGCAGACACACUUGAAGGCCCUAAUUGGAUGAUAAUCAAGAACAGAGAGGGUAUCAAAUCAAUAUCAUCACUUUCUCAUGCCAGCCUGAUAAUUAUUUUUAAGACUAGCGGGCAUGGGUCCCUCUUCAUGAUCCCAAAUUGCUAGCUUGUCUCCGAAUAAACAAUAAGGACCAAAGCUGUAAUGACAUGAGCUACAAACUACGACUCUCUCCUAUAAUUGUUUAAAAAGUUCUCAUCGAUAAUAGUUUACACAAAACUAUAUUAACAUAAAA